GCCCUGAGGUGACCAACUUAAAACAGGUGACUCGUUUUGGAAGCAAAACAAACACAAGAAGGGGAUUUGGGCUGGAGGCAGCUGUGGAUCCUGCACGCUCAGCUGGUGACGCACAAAGAAACAGGUGACGGCGACGGGAUGUUUGCCCUGCAAGGGUGCCGCCACGUGCUUCUUUCCCCUGGAACGAGCUCUCCCAGUAAAAUCUGCACCUGGCCUGGUGGUCUUGGCAACAUCGGACAACCUCUAGCAGAUGUUCUCCUCUCUUUUGUCGAUGACUUCGCGGUGGCUGCUCUGCAAGACAAAACUGCGGAUCAUCUCAUGGCUUCCUCUGCUGCAGAGAUCAUUAAUGAUGAUGAGGCUUUACUCCGUCACUGGAUCCGGGGUGAAAGUUGCCCUUUGGCUGUGUGACAGACAGGAAGAAAGGGACGCUCAGGCUAGUGUGAAGAUGUUUUUUUCCUCACUAAGAGCAGAGUACCCCAGGUCGUUCAAUCUCUACCGUACUGCAUAUUCCUGUUCACCUGACAUUAGGCCCCGGCUCAGUCCCAAAAGCAGCCUGCACCCCGCUGGGUCCAUUCCAUUAUAUACUCCAUGCACACUUUGUCGGUCAUACUAAAAGCCAAGCCUGGGGAGCAAGGAGAGGUUAAAAGGCAUAUGAAAUGGUUUCGCAGCCAGCCAAACUUCCCGAAUCCUCUUCUAUGGAGAGAUGCCAAACCACAGAAGAGAGAAUAAGGGAAGCCAAGAAGAAGAGAAAGAAAGAGCUGAAAGAGAAAAAUAGAGACAGGUGAGGAGUGAAGAGAGACAGAGACUGUGUGUGUUUGGGUCUCUAAAUGGCUCACUUAAUAGAGUUUACAGUUAGAAUAAAUCUAGACCUUAAUUUUGUCUUUUUUUUCUACUUAACAUCGCUUAAGAAAAAAAUGCUGUUUGCAUGUAUUUGCUGAAGGUGAUAAGGUAUAUUUUGAUGCAUUAGAGCUGACCAGUAAACCAAUAAUCAAGCAGAAAACAAUCAACAGGCUGUAAAAGUCUUUUCAAGUAUAUAUAUUUAAAUAAUAUGAAUAUGAAUAGCCUAUUAGUGUCUGAACAUUAAAAGUCAAGAAUAUGAAAUGGCCUUAAAAAAUAAUAGCCGAAGUUUGAGAAAUCUUCCACCCCCUGAAACACAAGUUGAUUACCGAGAACGGAGGGCAGCCGCACGCAGGGUUCAAUUAGUCAACCAAUUAGCGCUGGUCCGAGCGCGGCGGGAGCGCGCCUCUGUGUGACCGACAGGUCUCGCCGAGCAGCCGUUACAGCGCUAGCGUCCGUAGCCAGCUUGAUUUCUGGGGUUCCGGUGGGCAGUCAGGAUGUUAUUAUCGAGGUCUGGAGUCAGCAGCUUAAGUGGCGACCUGGUUUAGAUUCGAGACGCACACAGCGCAGCGGUGCGAUGAACACGAGAUCAACGCCACUUAUAACGUGCGACAAAUGUGGGCUCUCGCGCACGCAGGUCCAAUUCCAAAAAAAAAUCAAAAAGGUUCCAAAAGGAAGUUUUGGCAGUAAUUAGCCAUUUUUGGUCCCCCCCAAAACCUUUCAUUGAACGGUUCUUAAAAUAUAUAUAUUUUUCAAAGUGAAGAUUUCAUAAUCUGAAGAAACAUUUUCCACAUUCCACAUUUUCACAAAAAUAACCUCUUUUAUUCAAUGGAGAGGUUCCAAUAAUGGUUCUUUAUGGAAUCAUGG
ensembl:lncRNA